rnacentral:rRNA from 1 species
AGCGAACGCUGGCGGCAGGCCUAACACAUGCAAGUCGAACGGAGUCUUCGGACUUAGUGGCGGACGGGUGAGUAACACGUGGGAACGUACCUUUUGGUUCGGAACAACUCAGGGAAACUUGAGCUAAUACCGGAUGAGCACUUAGGGGGAAAGAUUUAUCGCCGAAAGAGCGGCCCGCGUUAGAUUAGCUAGUUGGUGAGGUAAAGGCUCACCAAGGCUACGAUCUAUAGCUGGUCUGAGAGGAUGAUCAGCCACACUGGGACUGAGACACGGCCCAGACUCCUACGGGAGGCAGCAGUGGGGAAUCUUGCGCAAUGGGCGAAAGCCUGACGCAGCCAUGCCGCGUGAAUGAUGAAGGUCUUAGGAUUGUAAAAUUCUUUUACCAGGGACGAUAAUGACGGUACCUGGAGAAAAAGCCCCGGCUAACUUCGUGCCAGCCGCCGCCGUAACAC